rnacentral:rRNA from 1 species
UACGGAGGGGGCUAGCGUUGUUCGGAAUUACUGGGCGUAAAGCGCGCGUAGGCGGUUACACAAGUUGGAUGUGAAAGCCCUCGGCUUAACUGAGGAAGUGCAUCCAAAACUGUGCAGCUAGAGUACUAAAGAGGGUCGCGGAAUUCCCGGUGUAGAGGUGAAAUUCGUAGAUAUCGGGAGGAACACCGGUGGCGAAGGCGGCGACCUGGGUAGAUACUGACGCUGAGGCGCGAAAGCGUGGGGAGCGAACAGG